GGGGAGGGUGGAGGUGGAGGUGGAGG
rnacentral:piRNA from 1 species